GGAGUUGUAGCUCAGGGGUAGAGCGCUUGCCUUGUAAGCGUGAGACACUGGGUUCAAUUGCUAGCACCA
rnacentral:tRNA from 1 species